CAAUAAGCAAAGAGAAGGUGUAAUUUAAAAAAUCUUUAUAAAUGUAUUGAUGGGUAUUUAUUUAAUAAAGCGAAGAGAGUAUGGGCAUUUUUUCACAAUUCCAUGUUUUGUGUAUCAAAUCGAGGCAUAACGAAAUAUGGCAACGGCAAUAUUAGCGGUUAUGACAUUUCUUGCGUUCAACGCUUACUUUCAAACCAUGUCUGGUCGACCUGACCCCAUUCGAACAACGGCAUCAUAACCACAUCAAAUUAAGGAUUGCCUGUACUAUGAGUACCAGAGCAACAGACUUUAAAGAAAUCUUUGGUACAACCCAGAACAACUAGGCCAGAACCAAUUUAGAAAAUUUAAUUUACAAAUUGGUCCUACCGUGAAUCAGGACCUCCCCUACAGUGUCAGCAGUUAAAACCGUUGGGACACUGAGGACGUCAAUUCGCUCAAAAAAGACUGAAACGAUGUUCAUAAUUCUUUUACUAACGAAAUCAAGAUACAUUUGUACAACAACCACAAAGACAACCACAUCUGCAACAACAAACACAACUACAACUACAACUACAACCACAACCACGACUACAACCAGAACUACAACUACCAGGAGCAGGAGGGGUAAAAAAACCAAGAAACCACCUAAGCGUUAUUUGCUAAAGAACCAGGUCGUCCUUCUAUCCGAAGCAGUUAAAUCUUUGAGGGAAAAAAGCGACGGAACCGAACAAACUAAAAUUACUUUUGUUGGUGACAAAAUAGUGCGUUUGAGGCAAGCGACAUAACCUAAAUAUUAGUGCAAGAACGCUGACAGGUUCUGCAAUAUACCACACACAUAAGUAUUUUAAUCAUAUCCUAGCCACCCACCAGCAUUAACUGCAUGAUAAAUCUUUAGGACUAUAUUAACUCCACGCUUGCAGCGGAAGCACGACAGGGCGCGACUUGCGCGGCAAGCUACUUAGAAGCGCAAAACAUGCUUAUUUUCGCUAGUGUUGCUUCUCGCGCAAGCCGCGCCCUCUUGUGCUAACGGUUUUGGAGAGGAUGUAGAUCGCAUUAAGACGAAAAAUUCAACAAGGAGUUAUUGGGGACUUAUUUUACGUGCUUCAAAUGCAUUAUGGCGGUGUAUUUAAGCUCAAUGAUAUUCGUAUUAUAUUUGCAACGAACAAUCUUAUUGGCAAACACUAUAAUGAUUGAACGUGGUGAAAAAUUAGCCAAUAACCGGAAGUUACUCGCGGAUUGUUGCCCAAGGUGCGCCAAAUGUACAGAUGAGGAAUGGUUCGUCGCAUGGGGAAGUUCUCAUUUUGUGCAACCCAAUGAACAAUUGAAGAUGAGUGCCCAUUUAGGCUGCCUUUUUCUCCAGAGAUGUGCGACUUAGCGAGGCUGUGUGCGAGGGAAAAAUCCACCAAUAGGAUUACUUGCUCACCUACGGUGGAAAAGGGUUAGCGAAGCUAAGUAUUUGUACAUACAAAAUAGCGAGAGAUGUGAUCGAGGGAUGCAAGCGAGGAAUAUGUGCAAAACGGUGUAGGAAACUAGAGUUACUGAAAGUAUGACACAGUUACUGAAAGUAUGACACUAACUGACACUGACACGUCGCCACCGCUCACUCCACCACACCCUAUCCCGCCCGCGCAUAGCUGAAAAGAGUCCGUAACACUUCCUCGCACCGCGCCCCUGCACUUCCUUUC